UUGCUUUGGCAGUAAAUAUAUGAAACUUGAAACGAUAUAGAGAAAAUUAGCAUGGCUCCUGUGCAAAGAUGACACACAAAUUUGUGAAGUGAUCAACAUAAGA
ensembl:snRNA U6 U6 spliceosomal RNA